rnacentral:tRNA from 1 species
GCUGGGGUUGCUCAGUGGUAAGAGUGCUCACCUAUAUGUGUGGGGCCCUGGGUUCAAUCCUCAGCACCACA